rnacentral:lncRNA from 1 species
UAGUGAGAUAUAUUAUGAUCUCCAUCAUAAUAUCAUCGAAACUCUUUUCGAUGGAUUGGAAUAUUUUCAAUUCUAUCCUUCGAGGGCCAUCGAUCAUCAAAGUGACGCCCGAUGAGUCUCACAAUCUACCAGUGACAUCUAGCAGUAUAUUAUGGUAACUCAAUAGAAUGAAAGUAUAAAUCUUUAGAUGCAAUUAUCAUAUGAUUCAGUCCUUCUAUUGUAAGUCUCGACUUGAUGGAGGUCAUGGAGAACUCGUCAGACCCC